rnacentral:rRNA from 1 species
UACGGGGGGGGCAAGCGUUGUUCGGAAUUACUGGGCGUAAAGGGCUCGUAGGCGGCCAACUAAGUCAUACGUGAAAUCCCUCGGCUUAACCGGGGAACUGCGUCUGAUACUGGAUGGCUUGAGUUCGGGAGAGGGAUGCGGAAUUCCAGGUGUAGCGGUGAAAUGCGUAGAUAUUCGGAAGAACACCAGUGGCGAAGGCGGCUCACUGGCCCGGUACUGACGCUCAGGUGCGAAAGCGUGGGGAGCAAACAGG